rnacentral:rRNA from 1 species
GCCUAAGGCCAUGCUACCCUGAACGUGCCUGAUCUCCCCUGAUCUCAGAAGCUAAGCAGAGUCAGGCCUGGUUAGUACUUGGAUGAGAGAUCACCUAGGAAUACUGGGUGCUGUAGAUG